UUUUUUGGUUUAAUUAUACAAAGUCCUUGAAGAGUUAAAGAAAUCAGAGAUUUUCCUGAAGAUUUGCUGAUAAUCGAGUCUUAGUCUUGAGUUGUUGUGGCACCCAAAUUGACCAAAAAUCAAGGAAAAAUCAGCCACCUUUUCUCAAUUCACGGCCGGCUACUCUUGGAGGAAGUUUCAAAGGAUGGACACUCCUAUUUUUAGCAAACUAGCUCCCUUGCCUCACAUAUAAAUAAGAGCUCAUUUCUUACUUUUUCAAUCAUCCCUCAUCCCAUCAUCUCUCACUCAUUUAUCAUUCUCUCAACUCUUUUAGCUAUCUUUCCCCUUCAUCAUCCUUGCAUAAGGAUUUUAGCAAUUAAGCCUCUUAAAGAACCC
rnacentral:lncRNA from 1 species